AGUUGGGAGGAAGAGGGAAGGGCCUGAUAGAAAGUUAGAACUGAGAGAAAUCGCUAGAAAGUACGAGAGCUUUAAUGUCAGGUGGUGAAGCCUUUCGUACUGUGAAAUCCCAUGGUAUUUGAUGAGUUGUAGCAAAGACCCCGUCUCUCCUCUUGUCACGCCUUGUU